AGGCAAGGAAUCCGGGACGUCAAGUGGACACGCCGGAAGUGAUACCCGCGGAAAAGGUGUGCUUUAAAGGUGACUAUGGUGGGCUUCCGGAUGGCGGUCAAGCAAUGUAGAAGAACCGAACACGUAUUUUGAAGCUUCCGCGUUAUCUUAACUUUGUUUUAGACAAUGAUUUUGGUGUAAAUGAAUUGACAACCAUGUCCUAAGGAAUUUAAACUAGUCGGUGGUGACUAGUAUAAGUUACUUUAAA